UUAAAUUGAAGAGUUUGAUCAUGGCUCAGAUUGAACGCUGGCGGCAGGCCUAACACAUGCAAGUCGAACGGUAACAGGAAGCAGCUUGCUGCUUUGCUGACGAGUGGCGGACGGGUGAGUAAUGUCUGGGAAACUGCCUGAUGGAGGGGGAUAACUACUGGAAACGGUGGCUAAUACCGCAUAACGUCGCAAGACCAAAGAGGGGGACCUUCGGGCCUCUUGCCAUCAGAUGUGCCCAGAUGGGAUUAGCUUGUUGGUGAGGUAACGGCUCACCAAGGCGACGAUCCCUAGCUGGUCUGAGAGGAUGACCAGCCACACUGGAACUGAGACACGGUCCAGACUCCUACGGGAGGCAGCAGUGGGGAAUAUUGCACAAUGGGCGCAAGCCUGAUGCAGCCAUGCCGCGUGUAUGAAGAAGGCCUUCGGGUUGUAAAGUACUUUCAGCGGGGAGGAAGGUGUUGUGGUUAAUAACCGCAGCAAUUGACGUUACCCGCAGAAGAAGCACCGGCUAACUCCGUGCCAGCAGCCGCGGUAAUACGGAGGGUGCAAGCGUUAAUCGGAAUUACUGGGCGUAAAGCGCACGCAGGCGGUCUGUCAAGUCGGAUGUGAAAUCCCCGGGCUCAACCUGGGAACUGCAUUCGAAACUGGCAGGCUUGAGUCUUGUAGAGGGGGGUAGAAUUCCAGGUGUAGCGGUGAAAUGCGUAGAGAUCUGGAGGAAUACCGGUGGCGAAGGCGGCCCCCUGGACAAAGACUGACGCUCAGGUGCGAAAGCGUGGGGAGCAAACAGGAUUAGAUACCCUGGUAGUCCACGCCGUAAACGAUGUCUACUUGGAGGUUGUGCCCUUGAGGCGUGGCUUCCGGAGCUAACGCGUUAAGUAGACCGCCUGGGGAGUACGGCCGCAAGGUUAAAACUCAAAUGAAUUGACGGGGGCCCGCACAAGCGGUGGAGCAUGUGGUUUAAUUCGAUGCAACGCGAAGAACCUUACCUGGUCUUGACAUCCACGGAAGAAUUCAGAGAUGGAUUUGUGCCUUCGGGAACCGUGAGACAGGUGCUGCAUGGCUGUCGUCAGCUCGUGUUGUGAAAUGUUGGGUUAAGUCCCGCAACGAGCGCAACCCUUAUCCUUUGUUGCCAGCGGUCCGGCCGGGAACUCAAAGGAGACUGCCAGUGAUAAACUGGAGGAAGGUGGGGAUGACGUCAAGUCAUCAUGGCCCUUACGACCAGGGCUACACACGUGCUACAAUGGCGCAUACAAAGAGAAGCGACCUCGCGAGAGCAAGCGGACCUCAUAAAGUGCGUCGUAGUCCGGAUUGGAGUCUGCAACUCGACUCCAUGAAGUCGGAAUCGCUAGUAAUCGUGGAUCAGAAUGCCACGGUGAAUACGUUCCCGGGCCUUGUACACACCGCCCGUCACACCAUGGGAGUGGGUUGCAAAAGAAGUAGGUAGCUUAACCUUCGGGAGGGCGCUUACCACUUUGUGAUUCAUGACUGGGGUGAAGUCGUAACAAGGUAACCGUAGGGGAACCUGCGGUUGGAUCACCUCCUUACCUUAAAGAA
rnacentral:rRNA from 9 species